ensembl:lncRNA
GGGCUUUCUGUCAUCUGUUUCCUAAAUAAAUAGCUUUCAAGUGAAAUUGUUGUGGAUGGAAGACCUUCAAGGGUUGUAUCACCUGACAUUUAGUUAAUGCAUUUCUUAAGGGAAGUCUCCAUUUCUCUCCUUGAGUCUUGUUCUUCUCUAUUGCAUCCUGGGCAGGUCGAUAUAAGACAAACAUUUUCAUUUCUUCUGCAUUCUAAAAGGUCAAAAUGAUAACAAAAUCAGAAAUAGAACCCACAUCUUUGGCUUUAUUGCAGAUCUCAUCCUACUUAACUUUUAUCCCUUGGCGCCUUGUUCUGUUGGCUGGGCUUAUAGACAACUAUCUUGAAAUAAGCAGCUCUCAGCCUCUUUCUUUGCAGCUCACCCUUCUUGAUUCAUGUCAUACCAGCUUGGUAGGGUGACUCCUAAACUAUAACAACAAGAAUAGUAAACUUAAUUUUAUAUAGGAUCCUUCAUACAGCGCCAUUACAAAACGCUUUGCCAAUUUAAGAGUUGUAGAAUUACAAAGCAGCGCUAUCGAAUUAAAUAAGUAACAGCUGAUACUAAUAAUUAGCUUAAUUUAUGGUCUAGCAGAACUGUCACAACUGAGGCAGCUCUCCCUCCGCCUCUCAUCUCCCUCUCUUUUCUUCCUUCAUCCCUCCUCCUUUGGCAAUGGCAACCAAGUGAAGUGCUGAGAUUGUCACAUUAGUCAUCAGAAAGUCAAGUCACUUCUUCCUUUACUCGGUAGCUUUACGACCUUGUUAUAUCAAGAAUUUUCAACCUUUUUGGAAUUGCUCCACCCCUUCAUGGUGUGAUUUCUCAACUGCUUCUCCUAAUGGCAGGCACCUGGUGGGAGAGGCACGCUAGGCUAGUUUGAAAUCUCUUGAGAAUUCACAACAAUCCCAGAAAGGCUCUUGCUUUUUGCAAAAUCAGGGUUGACAAUUACUGCUCUGUAAGGUAACCUUGUAAAGAGGGUUCUCCUCUCCACUUAAGCCAGGGGACUAAAAACUCAAACACAUCAGCAAGGUCACACUGGGGCCACGUGGCAGAAAUUGGGAAUGACUCUGUUUUUCCAGUGUCUGUGCAUGGCAGCUUUCCACAGAUACUCUAACCUCACUGGUAAUUGGAAAAAAUUCAAGAAUGUUCUUACAUAAACCUCAUCUAAAAACCCAUGCAGUUUAGGCUUAACGCAGAAUGUCCAUUUUAUCACAUUUAUUAAUCACUUAUCUCCCUAUCUACUGACCCCUCGCCUCUAAAUUCUGAAGAAGAAAUAUGGGCUUUCUCUACCAUCAAAAUAACGUAACCUGGGGACCAAACUCUGCAGAGCUGCUCUUUGUGGGAAGAGAUCUGUCAGUUUUCCUGAAGAUGAGCUUGUCUACUAUGAAAGAAAAUCAGUGCUCUUUAACUGUGGACUAAACCAAGACAGAUGUCCAGUUCUUGCCUCUUCCCACCAUGUAGUCUUCCUGAUUUUGUUUGGUUGAUACUACCACCAAAACAGGAGCCUUCCUGGGGCCCGCCUGGUGGCGCAGCAGUUAAGUGUGCACGUUCUGCUUUGGCGGCCCGGGAUUCACCUGUUCGGAUCCUGUGUGCAGACCUACGCACGACUUAUCAAGCAAUGCUGUGGCAGGCCUCCCACAGAUAAAGUAGAGGAAGGUGGGCACAGAUGUUAGCUCAGGGCCAGUCUUCCUCAACAAAAAGAAGAGGAUUGGCGGCAGAUGUUAGCUCAGGGAUAGUCUUCCUCAAAAAUAAAGAAAAAAAAUAAACAGAAGCCUUCCUGAUGACUGUCCUCCGAGUCUUACUGCCCUGCAAUAUCUGCUAGAGAAGUAAUUCAUUGUGGAAAACCAUAUUUGACAAAGGAAUAGGAAAUUUCCUUCUGCAGAAAGUUCUUUGGUUUUACCCUUUGCUUUCCCAGAUUGCAUACAGGCAUUUUAGAUUCUUCAAUUUAAAGAGGGUCUAAAUCCCUCUCUAAGAGUGAGAAUCUGCCAAACAGGAUUUUAAAUACCAGUGGUGCCACUUACUUGCUACAAGGCUCUCAGAGCCUGUUUCAUCCUCUGUUAAAUGGGGCCAAGUCUAGUGAGAGCCGUUGG